UUAUCUACGUUUUCAGCAAAGAGCAUAUAGCCCUCAUGUUUCUUAUGCUUAUUUUGCUUCUGUUACUGAUCUCCUCAGCCUUGACAAUACCAACUACAAAGUAUUAUUUGGACCUGAAAUACAACAAGAGGUACAAGUUAGCAAACAAAGAAUGCAACAUCAGCUAUACAUGCAAAACUCAGAAACUGAAGGACGAACUGAUGAGAUUAUGGACCAUGGCCUAUACCUCUAGCCCCCACUUUGUUGCGGGGCGCUUAGCAACAUGCACUGCCUCUGGAGGUUUCUGCCUUCUGAGCACAGUAAUUUAUGCUCAAGCCAUGCUUAGGUCUUACUUUCUCCAUUCGAGCUUCAGCUUUUGUAGUGGAGAAUCUG
rnacentral:lncRNA from 1 species